rnacentral:lncRNA from 1 species
AUGGAGGCAGCACAGCACAAGUUUGCUCCCAGAAAUGAUCUGCUGCUCCCUUCGAGGGAACAAAAUGGCACCACUCAGCACAAGCCAAGGGAGCUCGAUUACAUCAUGUUUCUCCAUGGAGAAGUUCAAACAACCCUAACAAUCUCUUUCCACAGGUAGGAGAUAGGGCAGGCCAGACUGGUCCCACACUGCUGUGAACAAACACAGCUUUGGUUUGUGAACUAAAG